UUAUUAAAACUUGUUAAAAUUGCAGCCCAUUCGUGAAACUUAGUCCCUUUCCCAGUCUUCUGCUGUAUCGCCGGGAGGUCUCAUCCAUGUUUGCCUCUCAGAAGUCAAGAGGUAUACAAUAUUUCAACAGGUUGGAAAAUGGCCUCUUUUCAGACGACAUUACACAUGUAAUUAGCGUAACUGAUACGAGGAUGUUGCAACUGUAACUUCUACAUGUUGUGAAGAAAUAUUUGCCAGAAACAGGACUUCAUUACAUUUUCAUGUUCAAACAGUAACCAGGCAUCAGAGUAAAUCUGAGCCUCUAAGAUCCGACAAAUCUAAACAUGCUUCAUCUCGCCUUUUAUGGACCUCCUCCAGCUCUUCCUCCUUUUCCUUAGUGAUUCGUUCUACUUCCAAGCGAUGACGUGCUCUCAUCUCAGACAUCUCUGUCUUAAACCGUUUGUUUUCUUCCUCGGUGCUAACCAGCCGAUCUGCAAACUCCUGACGAAUGACUUCUGCUAAACUGUUUCUCUCUUCUGUAAGUCUGUCAUUGAUCUGGUUCCAAAACAAACAAUAAAGUGACAAUAAAUUACA